UUCCAGUCUAGAAGCACGGUUUCGACUGCUCCUACAGUUUUGCUUCGGUACUACCAUUUAAUUGACGCUCUGACCAGAAAGACAAUUUCCAUACAGGGCCACAUAGAGAAGUCAGAUUUGAAAAUUCCUAAUAAGACACUUUAUUCAUCACCUUUGUGCACAAACAUCCAUUGAAUGAUUCAAAUAAUUUUAUAUAAUUUUAUAUUCAUCCAAUGUCUGCCAUGUUUUUGGAAUACGUGAAGACGUCUUAUGCUGCUCCCUGUAUGCACUGAGUGCUAGUGCGCAUGUGAUGUUGGUCCAUAUUAGGGAUUAAUCUUUUCCAGAGAAUCUACCAAGUUUCAAUAGCGGGAAUAAUUCAUAUUUAUCCAGAGAGUCUCUAGAAAUACUGGAAAAAUCGGAAUUGCCCCAUCAAAGUGUUUAAAACCAAGAUAUGGUCACUAUGCCAGGGUUCUCCCCAAAUUAGAGGGGCGCUGCGCCACCUUGUCGGCUUGGCCGAGCCAAUAUGUAAAGAUUUCAGAGCAAAUUAAACUGAGAUUUAGUAAUGAUAGAGUAACUAUCUUUGAUCGGCAAUGACAUUGUUGUGAAUUUCCAAACAGGCCGUUCAUAAAUUCAGAGCGUUAUCAUGUUCCUCAAUUAAUUCAGCAGAUUUCAGCAGUAGGCUAUCUCCACACAGAGAACGCUCAGGACGCACAGAGCGCACCCCGAGUAGAGCACUGUCGAAUCGAGUUGAGAUUACACAGAUAGCAGAUCAGCUCAUGAAUAACAGCUCAAAGAGGCACACGUUAUUUUAUAGACUAUAGGCUGCUGUAGGGUUUCUUGUAGGGUUUAUUGCAUUCGGGUCGUGUGUGCAGCCCGGCAGUGUCAAUUAGCCCAUGCGUGUGCUUUGAAUUUAUGCCGACUUUGUGUGAAGUAAGUAUGCUUGGCUGAAGGCUUCCAUGCGACAACCUGUUUGGAUAAUGUGCUAUUUAAUUUUUUGCUAAUCUGAUGCUGCUCAUGUUGUGUAAUUUGUGUAAUUGCAUUAGUGCCGACAUUGGGGGGAAAUGUUGUAAUUUCCUGGGUCUUGUCAUUGAAUUUUUUUGGGAAAUGUGAAGAGUGUUUCCGGAACAGUCAGGGGAGUUACCCAUGUUAAUCCCUAGUCCGUAUAAACCGGAUGCAACCCUGGAUAUAGACUGUCGAUGAAUUGGUGUAUGCGAACGUGAGUAGAUUGUAUUGAAAACAACAGGCGGACAUCUUGGAUGCAGUCUGCAGUUCCUAUUAUUCCUCAGUGUCUUUACUGAGCAAUUCCCUUCGGUCAGUGCUAUCCAGGAUCCUUGGGAUGUCCCUAAACAUAAAGGUUGGUAUAUUGGGGCGGCCUGUUUUGUCCUCUGUAUUUCAGACCAAAGCAAGACGAUGUUUAAAGAUCACUAUGGAUCUACAAACAGUGUCAACUUGAAUUUGAGUGUGGAAACUGGUCCCUUGAAGAUGUCUGCAAGUGGCUGAGUACCAAUGAUCUCCAUGAUUCCAUCCCAUCAUUCCAAGAACACCAAAUUGAUGGAGAGACAUUGAUGUCAUUGGACCAAACAAUGGUGGAACAACUCGUUCCAAUAAUCAAAGUUCUAAUCAAAUUCACAAAAUUUGAGAAUUUAAAAGCUGUAAAUAGGUAAGUCAAUGUAUGGCUGUUAUCCACAUCAUUGAUUCUAUCACAUUGAUCCUAUUCCAAUUCUCUGCUCUUUUGUUUUCUUUCUGAGCCUGAAAGCACAAGAAAACUGUUAUUGUUAGUUCACAGCUGCAGCAAACAGCCCAGCAAAAUGACCCAGCAUCUGUCCAGCAAAAUGACCCAGCAUCUGUCCAGCAAAAUGACCCAGCAUCUGUCCAGCCAAAUGACCCAGCAUCUGUCCAGCCAAAUGACCCAGCAUCUGUCCAGCAAAAUGACCCAGCAUCUGUCCAGCAAAAUGACCCAGCAUCUGUCCAGCAAAAUGACCCAGCAUUUGUCCAGCAAAAUGACCCAGCAUUUGUCCAGCAAAAUGACACAUCAAUUGGCCUUCAGCAUGACAUAUCAACUGGCACACAUCAAUCAGCCAAAGGGUCUGGCCAUCUGUGUUUAGACUUCCAGAAUUAACAGCCAUAUUAAAAUAAAAUAUGUGAUGAACUCCAUCGCCCUACUGUGCGCUCGAAGUGGAGGUCUCAGAUUGUGCAGGUGUUGUUCAACUUCAUGUGUACCUACCCUUGAUACCCCACUACCAGGCAAUACAUGGAUGUGUGCAUAGCGCUCAUUCAAAAGUACCCCUUGUUGAGAGACCAGACAGGGAAGGGAUAUGAGUCAUGGCACGGCAUGAUAAAGAAUAAAUACAAAAAAGAACGGCAGCCGCUUGCUCACUCUGCACAAGUACAGGAAAUGCAGAAGAUGUUUGGGAGGCAAGGGGAAAAAAAGAAGGCCAGAUGACACCAAAAAUGAAGACCUGACCAAAAUAGCCAAGAUUUUCAGAUUGAGACUGGUGAGGAUUCCUUCAGUCAGAAGUUACAUGUUGAAAAGAUGCAGGUGGAGUACCAAAAAAAGAGACCGGACAUAAGUUCCCUACAAGUCUAAAUGAAAAGGACUGAAAAAUAGAACUUUUUAUGAAACAACAAGGCACCAAGGACAUCUUAAAACAGUACCCAGCAUUCCCUUUGUCAGCCAUUAUUUUCUCUGAGAUGAGAAGCAAAUUCGGUAUGGACGUGGACAGAAACAUUCUGUCCGGAUUUGGCACAAUGGUCGACAAAAUCAUUGCAAAAACGGAGAGGAGCGGUAUGGCUGUGGAGUUGCUGAACCUCUACAAGAUGGCACCAUAGAUAGAACAAUGAGACAGAUAUUUCACUGGAUGUAUAAAUGUGAAGCAUGCAGUUGGCGUUUCUACUCACUACC